CUACGGGUCGCACCAGUGGGGAAUAUUGCACAAUGGGGGAAACCCUGAUGCAGCAACGCCGCGUGAGCGAUGAAGGUCUUCGGAUCGUAAAGCUCUGUCUUUAGGGAUGAUAAUGACAGUACCUAAGGAGGAAGCCACGGCUAACUACGUGCCAGCAGCCGCGGUAAUACGUAGGUGGCAAGCGUUAUCCGGAAUUAUUGGGCGUAAAGGGAGCGUAGGCGGAUAUUUAAGUGGGAUGUGAAAUACAUGAGCUCAACUCGUGUGCUGCAUUCCAAACUGGAUAUCUAGAGUGCAGGAGAGGAGAGUGGAAUUCCUAGUGUAGCGGUGAAAUGCGUAGAGAUUAGGAAGAACACCAGUGGCGAAGGCGACUCUCUGGACUGUAACUGACGCUGAGGCUUGAAAGCGUGGGGAGCGAACAGGAUUAGAUACCCUUGUAGUC
rnacentral:rRNA from 1 species